GUGCUUGCUUUGGCAGCACAUAUACUAAAAUUGGACCAAUAGGGAGAAGAUUAGCAUGGCCCCUGUGCAAGGAUGACAAGCAAAUUCGUGAAACGUUCCAUAGUUUU